rnacentral:rRNA from 1 species
UCUUCGGAGAGUUUGAUCCUGGCUCAGGACGAACGCUGGCGGCGUGCCUAAUACAUGCAAGUCGAGCGAAUCGAUGGGAGCUUGCUCCCUGAGAUUAGCGGCGGACGGGUGAGUAACACGUGGGC